UGGUGGAGUGAUUUGUCUGGUUAAUUCCGUUAACGAACGAGACCGCAGCCUGCUAAAUAAUCACAGUAAUUGAUUUUUCAUUGCUGAUGGGUUUCUUAGAGGGACAUGUAGUAUAAAACUACAGGAAGAUUGCGGCAAUAACA
rnacentral:rRNA from 1 species